rnacentral:rRNA from 1 species
ACGAACGCUGGCGGCGUGGAUAAGACAUGCAAGUCGAACGAGAGAAUUGCUAGCUUGCUAAUAAUUCUCUAGUGGCGCACGGGUGAGUAACACGUGAGUAACCUGCCCCCGAGAGCGGGAUAGCCCUGGGAAACUGGGAUUAAUACCGCAUAGUAUCGAAAGAUUAAAGCAGCAAUGCGCUUGGGGAUGGGCUCGCGGCCUAUUAGUUAGUUGGUGAGGUAACGGCUCACCAAGGCGAUGACGGGUAGCCGGUCUGAGAGGAUGUCCGGCCACACUGGAACUGAGACACGGUCCAGACACCUACGGGUGGCAGCAGUCGAGAAUCAUUCACAAUGGGGGAAACCCUGAUGGUGCGACGCCGCGUGGGGGAAUGAAGGUCUUCGGAUUGUAAACCCCUGUCAUGUGGGAGCAAAUUAAAAAGAUAGUACCACAAGAGGAAGAGACGGCUAACUCUGUGCCAGCAGCCGCGGUAAUACAGAGGUCUCAAGCGUUGUUCGGAAUCACUGGGCGUAAAGCGUGCGUAGGCUGUUUCGUAAGUCGUGUGUGAAAGGCGCGGGCUCAACCCGCGGACGGCACAUGAUACUGCGAGACUAGAGUAAUGGAGGGGGAACCGGAAUUCUCGGUGUAGCAGUGAAAUGCGUAGAUAUCGAGAGGAACACUCGUGGCGAAGGCGGGUUCCUGGACAUUAACUGACGCUGAGGCACGAAGGCCAGGGGAGCGAAAGGGAUUAGAUACCCCUGUAGUCCUGGCAGUAAACGGUGCACGCUUGGUGUGCGGGGAAUCGACCCCCUGCGUGCCGGAGCUAACGCGUUAAGCGGGCCGCCGGGGGAGUACGGUCGCAAGAUUAAAACUCAAAGAAAUUGACGGGGACCCGCACAAGCGGUGGAGUAUGUGGCUUAAUUCGAUGCAACGCGAAGAACCUUACCUGGGCUUGACAUGUAAUGAACAACAUGUGAAAGCAUGCGACUCUUCGGAGGCGUUACACAGGUGCUGCAUGGCCGUCGUCAGCUCGUGUCGUGAGAUGUUUGGUUAAGUCCAGCAACGAGCGCAACCCCUGUUGCCAGUUACCAGCACGUGAAGGUGGGGACUCUGGCGAGACUGCCCAGAUCAACUGGGAGGAAGGUGGGGACGACGUCAGGUCAGUAUGGCCCUUAUGCCCAGGGCUGCACACGUACUACAAUGCCCAGUACAGAGGGGGCCGAAGCCGCGAGGCGGAGGAAAUCCUGAAAACUGGGCCCAGUUCGGACUGUAGGCUGCAACCCGCCUACACGAAGCCGGAAUCGCUAGUAAUGGCGCAUCAGCUACGGCGCCGUGAAUACGUUCCCGGGUCUUGUACACACCGCCCGUCACAUCAUGGAAGCCGGUCGCACCCGAAGUAUCUGAAGCCAACCGCAAGGAGGCAGGGUCCUAAGGUGAGACUGGUAACUGGGAUG